AGGAGGAGGAAUCGCUCGGAACUCAUACAGGUGUCUUUUCUGACUCCUGGCAGGGCCUGCGACAUCCCUGUCUGCUGAGCUGAGGCUGCUGGCCUCAGACCAAGGCUCUCCUUUCCCUCAGAACCCGCAGUAAGGGGGCACCUGAGCCUAGCAGCCAUGCCUGGGACCUCCCAAGACUGACAGUAGGGGGAGGGGCUCUUUGUGGCCCCCUCUUUUGGGGUGGGUUUUCCCCUCAGUCCUCAUUCAGUGUCAUACGUUGACGCCUUGUAGGUUCUGAGCUACCUCGCCUCUGCUGACUCCAGGCCAAACCCAUCAGGAAGCCAGCCUCCGUGAUGUAAAGAAGCUUAUACCAGAAAACUGAAGGAGGAGACAGCACAUGAGGAUAGAGAGGCCACGUGGAAGAGCGUUGAGGUACCAGACAUCAAGAACACAUCUGCCCAUUGGCCCUGAUAAGCAUGCAGACCAUUAGUAGCAAUGAAGCCAGCUUGCUUUGCA